rnacentral:rRNA from 1 species
CACGUGAGCAACCUGCCCCGAAGACUGGGAUAACCCGGGGAAACCCGGGCUAAUACCGGAUGUCCUCUUCCGAUCGCAUGGUCGGACGAGGAAACGUUCAGGCGCUUUGGGAUGGGCUCGCGGCCUAUCAGCUUGUUGGUGGGGUAACGGCCUACCAAGGCGACGACGGGUAGCUGGUCUGAGAGGACGAUCAGCCACACUGGGACUGAGACACGGCCCAGACUCCUACGGGAGGCAGCAGUAGGGAAUCUUGCGCAAUGAGGGAAACCUUGACGCAGCGACGCCGCGUGCGGGAUGAAG